ACACGACUACAUUAGAUACCCGUGUAGUCCCAGCCCUAAACGAUGCGCGUUAGGUGUAUCGGUGACCACGAGUCACCGAGGUGCCGAAGGGAAACCGUGAAACGUGCCGCCUGGGAAGUACGGUCGCAAGGCUGAAACUUAAAGGAGUUGGCGGGAGAGCACCACAACGGGUGGAGCCUGCGGUUUAAUUGGACUCAACGCCGGGAAGCUCACCGGAUAAGACAGCGGAAUGAUUGCCGGGCUGAAGACCCUGCAUGACCAGCUG
rnacentral:rRNA from 1 species